UUAGAUCAGAAAACACACCACAAUUAAU
rnacentral:sRNA from 1 species